UCCGGUUUGUCACCGGCAGUCUUGCAUGAGUCCCCGGCCGAACCGCUGGCAACAUGCAACGGGGGUUGCGCUCGUUGCGGGACUUAACCCAACAUCUCACGACACGAGCUGACGACAGCCAUGCACCACCUGUGAUCCUGCCCCAAAGGGAGAGUGUGUUUCCACACCUGUCAGGAACAUGUCAAGCCCAGGUAAGGUUCUUCGCGUUGCGUCGAAUUAAACCACAUGCUCCGCUGCUUGUGCGGGCCCCCGUCAAUUCCUUUGAGUUUCAUUCUUGCGAACGUACUCCCCAGGCGGGAUACUUAACGCGUUAGCUACAGCAUUGCACGGGUCGAUACGCACAGCGCCUAGUAUCCAUAGUUUACGGCUAGGACUA
rnacentral:misc_RNA from 1 species